GUCCAAGCCGUAAAUGAUGCUUGCUAGGUGUCUGUUUCGCUUUGCGGAAUGGGUGCCGAACCUAACGGGUUAAGCAAGUCGCCUGGGAAGUAUACUCGCAAGAGUGAAACUCAAAGGGAUAGGCGGGGGAACACACAAGCAGUGGAUUAUCUAGAUUAAUUGGAUAAUAAGCAAAGAAUCUUACCUAGGCUUGACAUAUACUGUGUCGUACAAGAAAUUGUACUAUUCGUAGCAAUACGAAGCGUUAUACAGGUGGUGCAUGGUCGUCGU
rnacentral:rRNA from 1 species